rnacentral:rRNA from 1 species
GACGGAGGAUGCAAGUGUUAUCCGGAAUCACUGGGCGUAAAGCGUCUGUAGGUGGUUUAAUAAGUCAACUGUUAAAUCUUGAGGCUCAACCUCAAAAUCGCAGUCGAAACUAUUAGGCUAGAGUAUAGUAGGGGGUAAAGGGAAUUUCCAGUGGAGCGGUGAAAUGCGUAGAGAUUGGAAAGAACACCGAUGGCGAAGGCACUUUACUGGGCUAUUACUAACACUCAGAGACGAAAAGCUAGGGUAGCAAAUGGG